rnacentral:lncRNA from 1 species
GUCACACUGACAUAGGUAAGUGUUAACCUUAUUUUAUUUGUAGAAAAUGGCAACCUAGAUUUCAAGUGAAUUUUUCAAGUGAGUAAAUGACAGAGUUUGGAAAAAAUUUAAAUUUUAACAUAACUUAUCAUCUGAAAAAUACCUUUGUAAGCAAAUAGCAUUUUCCCCUCAAACACCUAAAAAUCUGUCUAUUUUCCUUGGGCUGACACACAGAUAGUGAACUGAAUGAAAGCAAUCUUUUUCACUAGCUAUGUUUUUCUAGGGUGGUGUCUUUUGAGUAGUUUUCAGGAUUAAGCAUUUAACCAUGUCACCUUUCCUGGAAGUUUUCCACGAUACAAAAAGUGAUCUUAGUGACAGCAUGAAUUAAGACUUGAUUUGGUGAGAAGGAAAUGAGCCAAUGGUGUUCUCAUGGAGAGUUUUGUAAAGUUGUUUUAAUUCUUCUGUUCAUAUCACAAACAAACCAGAGUUAAAUACCAUCUGAUUUCUCAAGGUUAGUGUCUUCUAGAAACUAUAUUAGGAUAUUCUCAUUGACUGGCUUCACAGCUUUUACAUUUAAACAGAAUUAUUCCUGGUGAAAAAGAAUAUAUUAAUCGAUCAUUGGCAAAAUGCAAUUAUGUUAUUCCCAUGGCUUAUUCAAUAUUUUGACAAAUAUUUACUUAGCAGUUACUCUGUACUGGUAAGUCAUUAUUUUGUUUGUGUAUAUAAAAGUACCUGUUGGGUUUGGUAACUUAAGAGAAUCAAACUACUUGCUUUUGAGUUGUCUGUAAGAUUUAUCUUUCUGAGAUUAAGGCCAUGAUGGAAUUGCUGACUACAUAAUAAUUAUAUCUAUUUUUAGUUUCUGAAUUGAAUGAUAAUGGAAAUCUGGAGCAUAUAAAGUCAGACAUAUCUAUAUGUAAUAUAUAUGAAGUUUGUAUAUAAUAUAUGUCAUUUUAUAUUUAUAAAUUAUGUGUAUAUUACUUAAUAUUUAGUACUGGCAUUGGUAAAGCCUAUAAUUAUUAAAUAAUAAAAAUUGCCAGGUUAUUUCUAGCUUAAUCCAAGUUUAUACUAUAUACAUAAUAUAUUAUUCUAGUCAUACGAUUUGUCUCCCAUCUUUCUCUUCCCUUUCAAUAACAGAAAAUUAUAAAAACUGUUUCAAUGAGGAAAAGUCACUUCUUCUCGGAACGUUCUUGCUUAUAAUGCCUUUAUCAAGAGUAUUUGCUUUUUGGACCUCCUCUGUGGGUACUUCCUUUACAACUGGCUCCAAUCAACCUUUCCUUCCAAGUACUCUGCCUUCUUUUCUCAGGUGAGUUAGUCAUAUGUGUAUCUGCAGCUAAAUAAUACAGUUACAAAGGGAGUGUUUUGUUAUUCUCUAUGGUUUGCAAC